rnacentral:piRNA from 1 species
UACUUCUUUUGCACUUUGUUC